GCUGCCCACCCUGAGUGUGAGGUCCUGCCCUGGCAAUGGAGAAAUAAAUGCCCGGGAAAGAGCCUCCUUCUAAAUGAGCUUCCAGGGUGGGGCAUAAUGGCUUACACCUGUACACCUAGUGCUUUGGGAGGCCCAGGCAGAAGGAUCUCCUGAGCCCUGGAGUUCAAGAUUGGUCUGGGCAACAUAGUUGUUUCUAUCCCAGGUAUUGGGGAUAAUCUAAAAAGAGCUCAGGGGAAACGUUAGCAGAAGAAAACAGCGUCUGGAAGCUGUCAGGUGAAAAACAGUUGAAUGAAUUGACUGAUUGGCUCAGAGACAAGAAGGCUAAGGAGAGAGACAUGUCUUGCUCUGUCACGCCCAGGCUGAAGUGUGGUGGUGUGAUAUUGGCUCGCUGCAACCUCCACCUCCCAGGUUCAAGUGAUUCUCCUGCCUCAGCCUCCUGAGUAGCUGGGAUUACAGUGAAUUUUACGGCCGAGAAACUGGCUCGGGCACAACUGUUCACAGCUGCAUGUCGGAUGUUGCAGGGGACACAAUGGCUGCUGUGUGUGCAGGAGGACAAACAGUCCCACGCAGGCCUGAGCCUGAGGAACAAUGAAGCACAAACGGCCUUCAGUACAAUGCAUUCAUUUCCUGUCAUAACACUGGGCUCAGUGCGACCUGGGAGGCCAGCUCCACCUGACCGAGAGACACCCCACUUCAUGCCAUCAUUUUCAGAGGCUUGCUGUUCAUGAAGAAAGAUGCGAAUAAAAAGGAGAGAGAUGGCAAGCGGUUGAGGGUUUUUU